CCUACGGGGAGCAGCAGUGGGGAAUAUUGGACAAUGGGCGAAAGCCUGAUCCAGCCAUGCCGCGUGUGUGAAGAAGGCCUUCGGGUUGUAAAGCACUUUCAGUGGGGAAGAAAGCCUUGGGGCUAAUACCCUCGAGGAAGGACAUCACCCACAGAAGAAGCACCGGCUAACUCCGUGCCAGCAGCCGCGGUAAUACGGAGGGUGCGAGCGUUAAUCGGAAUUACUGGGCGUAAAGCGCGCGUAGGCGGUCUGAUAAGCCGGUUGUGAAAGCCCCGGGCUCAACCUGGGAACGGCAUCCGGAACUGUCAGGCUAGAGUGCAGGAGAGGAAGGUAGAAUUCCCGGUGUAGCGGUGAAAUGCGUAGAGAUCGGGAGGAAUACCAGUGGCGAAGGCGGCCUUCUGGACUGACACUGACGCUGAGGUGCGAAAGCGUGGGUAGCAAACAGGAUUAGAUACCCCAGUGGUC
rnacentral:rRNA from 1 species